GCCUAAAGCGUCCGUAGCCUGCCCUGUAAGUUUUCGGUUAAAUCUGUAUGCUCAACAUACAGGCCGCCGGGAAUACUGCAGGGCUAGGGAGUGGGAGAGGUAGACGGUACUCGGGAGGAAGUGGUAAAAUGCUUUGAUCUCUCGAUGACCACCUGUGGCGAAGGCGGUCUACCAGAACACGUCCGACGGUGAGGGAUGAAAGCUGGGGGAGCAAACCGGAUUAGAUACCCGGGUAGUCCCAGCUGUAAACGAUGCAGACUCGGUGAUGCGCUGGCUUGUGGCCAGUGCAGUGCCGCAGGGAAGCCGUUAAGUUUGCCGCCUGGGAAGUACGUACGCAAGUAUGAAACUUAAAGGAAUUGGCGGGGGAGCACCACAAGGGGUGAAGCCUGCGGUUCAAUUGGAGUCAACGCCAGAAAUCUUACCCGAAGAGACAGCAGAAUGAAGGUCAAGCUGGAGACUUUACCAGACAAGCUGAGAAGUGGUGCAUGGCCGUCGCCAGCUCGUGCCGUGAGAUGUCCUGUUAAGUCAGGUAACGAGCGAGAUCCCUGCCUCUAGUUGCCACCAUUACUCUCAGGAGUAGUGGGGCGAAUUAGCGGGACCGCCGCAGUUAAUGCGGAGGAAGGAAGGGGCCACGGCAGGUCAGUAUGCCCCGAA
rnacentral:rRNA from 1 species